rnacentral:rRNA from 1 species
UUGAACGCUAGCGGCAUGCUUUACCCAUGCAAGUCGCACGGCAGCGCGGGCUUCGGCCUGGCGGCGAGUGGCGAACGGGUGAGUAAUACAUCGGAACGUGCCCAGUAGUGGGGGAUAGCUCGGCGAAAGCCGGAUUAAUACCGCAUACGACCUGAGGGUGAAAGCGGGGGAUCUUCGGACCUCGCGCUAUUGGAGCGGCCGAUGGCAGAUUAGCUAGUUGGUGGGGUAAAGGCCUACCAAGGCGACGAUCUGUAGCUGGUCUGAGAGGACGACCAGCCACACUGGGACUGAGACACGGCCCAGACUCCUACGGGAGGCAGCAGUGGGGAAUUUUGGACAAUGGGCGAAAGCCUGAUCCAGCAAUGCCGCGUGUGUGAUGAAGGCCUUCGGGUUGUAAAGCACUUUUGGCGGGAACGAAAAGGACUGUGCCAAUACCACGGUUCGAUGACGGUACCCGCAGAAUAAGCACCGGCUAACUACGUG